rnacentral:rRNA from 1 species
UAUCAUGGUUCAGAACGAACGCUGGCGGCGUGCCUAACACAUGCAAGUCGAACGUGAUCCGCCCUUCGGGGUGGUGAAAGUGGCGCACGGGUGAGUAACGCGUGGAUAAUCUGCCCGAGGAUUUGGGAUAACAUCUCGAAAGGGGUGCUAAUACCGAAUAAGCCCACGGGGUCUACGGAUCUUGCGGGAAAAGGGGGGGACCUUCGGGCCUCCUGUCCUUGGAUGAGUCUGCGUACCAUUAGCUAGUUGGUGGGGUAAUGGCCUACCAAGGCGACGAUGGUUAGCUGGUCUGAGAGGAUGAUCAGCCACACUGGAACUGAGACACGGUCCAGACUCCUACGGGAGGCAGCAGUGGGGAAUUUUGCGCAAUGGGGGAAACCCUGACGCAGCAACGCCGCGUGGGUGAUGAAGGCCUUCGGGUCGUAAAGCUCUGUCUGGAGGGAAGAAAUGAUUGGGAGCUAAUACCUCUUGAUCUUGACGGUACCUCUGAAGGAAGCACCGGCUAACUCCGUGCCAGCAGCCGCGGUAAUAC